rnacentral:rRNA from 1 species
GCAAGUCGAGCGCACCCUUCGGGGCGAGCGGCGGACGGGUUAGUAACGCGUGGGAACAUACCCUUUUCUACGGAAUAGCCUUUGGAAACGAAGAGUAAUACCGUAUACGCCCUUCGGGGGAAAGAUUUAUCGGUUAAGGAUUGGCCCGCGUUAGAUUAGAUAGUUGGUGGGGUAAUGGCCUACCAAGUCUACGAUCUAUAGCUGGUUUGAGAGGAUGAUC